AUUGAACGCUGGCGGCAGGCCUAACACAUGCAAGUCGAACGAGUGGCGGACGGGUGAGUAAUGUCUGGGAAACUGCCUGAUGGAGGGGUAUAACUACUGGAAACGGUAGCUAAUACCGCAUAACAUCCGAUGUGCCCAGAUGGGAUUAGCUAGUUGGUGGGGUAACGGCUAACCAAGGCGACGAUCCCUAGCUGGGCUGAGAGGCUGACCAGCCACACUGGAACUGAGACACGGUCCAGACUCCUACGGGAGGCAGCAGUGGGGAAUAUUGCACAAGGGGCGCAAGCCUGAUGCAGCCAUGCCGCGUGUAUGAAGAAGGCCUUCGGGUUGUAAAGCACUGUCAGCAGGGAGGCGUUACCCGCAGAAGAAGCACCGGCUAACUCCGUGCCAGCAGCCGCGGUAAUUC
rnacentral:rRNA from 1 species